CGUGCUUAACACAUGCAAGUCGAGCGAUGAAGCUUGUCGGAGUGAUUAGCGGCGACGGGUGAGUAACACGUGGGUAACCUGCCUCAUAGAGGGGAAUAGCCUUUUCGAAAGGAAGAUUUAAUACCGCAUAAAGAUUGUAGUACCGCAUGGUACAGCAAUUAAAGGAGUAAUCCGCUAUGAGAUGGACCCGCGUCGCAUUAGCUAGUUGGUGAGGUAACGGCUCACCAAGGCGACGAUGCGUAGCCGACCUGAGAGGGUGAUCGGCCACAUUGGGACUGAGACACGGCCCAGACUCCUACGGGAGGCAGCAGUGGGGAAUAUUGCACGAUGGGGGAAACCCUGAUGCAGCAACGCCGCGUGAGUGAUGACGGCCUUCGGGUUGUAAAACUCUGUCUUUGGGGACGAUAAUGACGGUACCCAAGGAGGAAGCCACGGCUAACUACGUGCCAGCCGCUGC
rnacentral:rRNA from 1 species